rnacentral:rRNA from 1 species
AGUGAACGCUGGCGGUAGGCCUAACACAUGCAAGUCGAACGGCAGCACAGUAAGAGCUUGCUCUUACGGGUGGCGAGUGGCGGACGGGUGAGGAAUCCAUCGGAAUCUACUUUUUCGUGGGGGAUAACGUAGGGAAACUUACGCUAAUACCGCAUACGACCUACGGGUGAAAGCAGGGGAUCUUCGGACCUUGCGCGAUUGAAUGAGCCGAUGUCGGAUUAGCUAGUUGGCGGCGUAAAGGCCCACCAAGGCGACGAUCCGUAGCUGGUCUGAGAGGAUGAUCAGCCACACUGGAACUGAGACACGGUCCAGACUCCUACGGGAGGCAGCAGUGGGGAAUAUUGGACAAUGGGCGCAAGCCUGAUCCAGCCAUACCGCGUGGGUGAAGAAGGCCUUCGGGUUGUAAAGCCCUUUUGUUGGGAAAGAAAAGCAGCAGGUUAAUACCCCGCUGUUCUGACGGUACCCAAAGAAUAAGCACCGGCUAACUUCGUG